rnacentral:rRNA from 1 species
CCUACGGGAGGCAGCAGUGGGGAAUAUUGGGCAAUGGGCGCAAGCCUGACCCAGCAACGCCGCGUGAAGGAAGAAGGCUUUCGGGUUGUAAACUUCUUUCGUCAGGGAAGAGUAGAAGACGGUACCUGACGAAUAAGCCACGGCUAACUACGGGCCAGCAGCCUCGGUAAUACGUAGGUGGCAAGCGUUGUCCGGAUUUACUGGGUGUAAAGGUCGUGUAGCCAGGUUGACAAGUCAGAUGUGAAAUCCUGCGGCUUAACCGCAGAACUGCAUUUGAAACUGUUGAUCUUGAGUGCUGGAGAGGCAGAUGGAAUUCCUGGUGUAGCGGUGGAAUGCGUAGAUAUUAGGAGGAACACCAGUGGCGAAGGCGGUCUGCUGGACAGCAACUGACGGUGAGGCGCGAAAGCGUGGGGAGCAAACAGGAUUAGAUACCCGGGUAGUC